rnacentral:rRNA from 1 species
GACGAACGCUGGCGGCGUGCUUAACACAUGCAAGUCGAACGGAAAGGCCUGCUUUCCCUUGUGGAUUGCGGGUACUCGAGUGGCGAACGGGUGAGUAACACGUGAGUGAUCUGCCCCCAACUUGGGUAUAAGCCUGGGAAACUGGGUCUAAUUCCCGAUAGGACUGCAGGGUGGUGCCUGUGGUGGAAAACGAUUUUCUAGUGGUUGGGGAUGAGCUCGCGGCCUAUCAGCUUGUUGGUGGGGUAAUGGCCUACCACGGCGGCGACGGGUAGCCGGCCUGGGAGGGUGGACGGCGACAUUGGGACUGGGACACGGCCCAGACUGCUACGGGAGGCAGCAGUGGGGAAUAUAGCACAAUGGGCGGAAGCCUGAUGCAGCGACGCCGCGUGGGGGAUGACGGCCUUCGGGUUGUAAACUCCUUGCGACCGCGAGGAAGCCACCUGGUUGGAAGGGUGGUGACGGUAGUGGUAGAAGAAGCACCGGCUAACUACGUG